UCUCCGUAGGUGAACCUGCGGAGGGAUCAUUACAGAGUUCGUGCCCUUUGGGGUAGAUCUCCCACCCUGUGUCGUCCUACUUAUGUUGCUUUGGCGGGCCGCCGCAAGGCCCCCGGCGUCAGCUGGGGCGCGCCCGCCAGAGGACCCCAAACUCUGAAUGUUAGUGUCGUCUGAGUACUAUCUAAUAGUUAAAACUUUCAACAACGGAUCUCUUGGUUCUGGCAUCGAUGAAGAACGCAGC
rnacentral:misc_RNA from 1 species